rnacentral:rRNA from 1 species
CAGUAUUCUGGCGGGCAUGCCUGUUCGAGCGUCAUUAC